CUUUUGUAAGAAUAUAUGUAUAUAGUUGAUAAAAAGAACCCUCGAAACUUUCAGAGAAAGCUUCACGGAUACAAGUUUCCAGUGUACGCUACAACGGUUUGUCCAAGAAAUGAAACAGAAUGGAUUGAGAGGUCGUCAGCUCUCAACUGUAACAAAAGUAACGGUUACACGUGUUUACCGAACGAAAACUUCGAUCAGCUCUUAGAGUACUGUUACAUUGUACCUGUUGAAAGGAUUCAGAAAGGUUUUUGUUUAUAUUUAGUGACACGCGUUUCACGAACUCAGUCAUACAGCUGCAGAAACUUUGCACAAGGAUGUCAUAAUCACUCUUUCUUCAGCAAUGAAAUCUAUAAAUACCCGGCUUGCAUUUCACUUGGAAAUGGUUGUUUUCUCGCCGAACCAUCUUGUAAAAGUAUAACGCCACCUCAUAUUCAGAGUACUACACAGCAAUUUAAAAAUGCCUCUAUCAACAAAUGGAAUGGAAGUACAACAACACAUCCUCAGCAAUCGUCAGAACAUCCUCAAUUAGACAACACACCAAUCAGCGACAAUGAUGACGCUCUAUUUGUUCCAAUAUUAUUAGGAAUACUCACCCCUAUAUGUAUUCUCUCUUUGCUGUCUGGCUACUACAUAAUCUGUCGAAGAAGAUAUGAUGUAGAAUUGCACGAAGAGGAUGAGAUUGGACAUUUACUCGAAAAUGAAAAUCAUUCUAUUGAUGGCUUAGACUUUAGUCAUGAAAAGGAAGAAUGUACCCCAUCUAUUGAAAAACACAAGUAUAAUAUAAACCAAGAAUCACAGAUGGAAAAGUCCAUUUUUGACCAAUGGGAGCGGGACGAAUCUUGUUUUACUUCAACAAAUGCUUGUAAAGAAGUAGAAAAAAUAAUCAAAAGCAGGAACCUGGUUAUAGUGGGUGGUCACUCAGGAUCCGGAAAGUCAGCCAUUAUUCAACACAUCGCACUCAAAUACAGAAAGCAGGGCUGGACCGUAAGACGAGUAACGAAGGUAAAAGAAAUUGUGAAUGAAUAUUCUUCAAGUCGAUUUCAAAAGAAUAAAACCAUUUGUGUUUUUAAUGAUCCACUGGGAAAAGAAUCCUUUGAUGAAAUAUUGAACAAUUCAUGGCAAAGAUAUGAGGAAGAAAUAACAACUUACUUAAAGACAGCAAAACUUUUAAUGUCAUGCAGGAAUUACAUUAUUUCUGAGAAAAACAACGAAUACACCGAAGAGUUUAAACAUGGGUUAAACCUCUGCGGAUUUAAUAGUAUGGCACCUUCUGAAGUAGGCAACAAUCUUGACUCCCUGAACGAAUAUUUGGUCAAGAAAGUAGGCGACACGUACCAUUUUUAUCAUGACUUUAUAAUGGAAGUUACUACGCAUGUGUUUGGAACAGAUUAUCCCACUGAAACAAUAAAAUACGCCGAUAUUGGCUUCCUCAGAAGAAGAGUAAAAUUGGGAAAUUUUGACAAACACGACGAUUCGUUCACUAUUUAUCUAAGUGACAAAUACAUUGAGAAACUUGGAGAAAGACUUUAUACAGAACUGUUUGGAGAACGCGUGCUGGUAACGAUAUCCGAGAAAACGAUGACUAUAACCAUAGGGAAACAGGUGCAGAACGAAGGGAUAAAACUGUACAACUUUUACUGAGUAAUGGAGCAGACAUUAAUUUAUGUCUAGAGGACGGAACCAGUCCUCUCUCUAUAGCUUGUCAAAACGGACAUGAUAGCACUGUACAACUUUUACUGAGUAAUGGAGCAGACAUUAAUUUAUGCAUCAAAAACGGAUUCAGUCCUCUCUUUACAGCUUGUCAAAACGGACAUAAUAGCACUGUACAACUUUUACUGAGUAAUGGAGCAGACAUUAAUUUAGGCAACAAAAACGGAGCCAGUCCUCUCUGUAUAGCUUGUCAAAACGGACAUAAUAGCACAGUACAACUUUUACUGAGUAAUGGAGCAGACAUUAAUUUAUGCAACAAAAACGACGGAGCCAGUCCUUUCUUUAUAGCUUGUCAAAAGGGACAUAAUAGCAUCGUACAACUUUUACUGAGUAAUGGAGCAG
rnacentral:sRNA from 1 species